rnacentral:rRNA from 1 species
UACGUAGGGGGCGAGCGUUGUCCGGAUUUAUUGGGCGUAAAGAGCGUGUAGGCGGCCAGGUAGGUCUGCUGUGAAAACUCGAGGCUCAACCUCGAGACGUCGGCGGAAACCAUCUGGCUAGAGUCCGGAAGAGGAGAGUGGAAUUCCGAGGUGUAGCGGUGAAAUGCGUAGAUAUGACAUAGAACACCAAUUGCGUAGGCAGCUUACUACACGAUCAUGACGCUGAGGCACGAAAGCGUGGGGAGCAAACAGG